rnacentral:rRNA from 1 species
GACAGAGGGUGCGAACGUUGCUCGGAAUUACUGGGCGUAAAGGGCGCGUAGGCGGCCUGUUAAGUCGAACGUGAAAUCCCCGGGCUCAACCCGGGAACUGCGUCCGAUACUGGCAGGCUUGAAUCCGGGAGAGGGAUGUGGAAUUCCAGGUGUAGCGGUGAAAUGCGUAGAUAUCUGGAGGAACACCGGUGGCGAAGGCGGCAUCCUGGACCGGUAUUGACGCUGAGGCGCGAAAGCCAGGGGAGCAAACGGG